ensembl:lncRNA
GUAGCCUAGUGGUUAGAGUGUAGGGGCGGCAGGGUAGCCUAGUGGUUAGAGUGUAGAGGUGGCAGGUAGCCUAGUGCUUAGAGUGUAGAGGAGGCAGGUAGCCUAGUGGUUAGAGUGUAGAGGUGGCAGGUAGCCUAGUGGUUAGAGUGUAGAGGAGGCAGGUAGCCUAGUGGUUAGAGUGUAGAGGGGGCAGGUAGCCUAGUGGUUAGAGUGUAGAGGAGGCAGGUAGCCUAGUGGUUAGAGUGUAGAGGUGGCAGGGUAGCCUAGUGGUUAGAGUGUAGAGGCGGCAGGUAGCCUAGUGGUUAGAGUGUAGAGGCGGCAGGUAGCCUAGUGGUUAGAGUGUAGAGGUGGCAGGUAGCCUAGUGGUUAGAGUGUUGAGGCGGCAGGUAGCCUAGUGGUUAGAGUGUAGAGGUGGCAGGUAGCCUAGUGGUUAGAGUGUAGAGGCGGCAGGUAGCCUAGUGGUUAGAGUGUUGAGGCGGCAGGUAGCCUAGAGGUUAGAGUGUAGAGGAGGCAGGUAGCCUAGUGGUUAGAGUGUAGAGGAGGCAGGUAGCCUAGUGGUUAGAGUGUAGAGGAGGCAGGUAGCCUAGUGGUUAGAGUGUAGAGGCGGCAGGUAGCCUAGUGGUUAGAGUGUAGAGGUGGCAGGUAGCCUAGUGGUUAGAGUGUAGAGGAGGCAGGUAGCCUAGUGGUUAGAGUGUAGAGGCGGCAGGUAGCCUAGUGGUUAGAGUGUAGAGGAGGCAGGCAGCCUAGUGGUU